AAUCAAUAUGGCACGGUAGGAAGUGGCAUUUGUUCCACGGGCUGUUCAAGCAAGAUCUGUUGAUUAAAAAGCAGCAAGUUCUCAGGGCAAGCCUCUGUCUCCUUUGGGUCUCCCUGGAGCAGGACAGCCCUCCCAGGCAGGACAAGCGCAAAUAGCUGGAGGAUUCAUUCACUUUACAGAGGAACAUGGCAGACCUCUGCUUUCCACUUUUCUUACAGACCUUUUGGCUCCCCAUCCAAAGACCAGAGGAGAAAAGCAAGAUAAAGGCAGAAAGAGGGCUGUACUUGAAGAUGGGUCACACACUGGAUUUUUUUUUUUGCUGCUAAUACUCCAAGAAAAGAAAAGAUACCUGGCAAGAGACCAUGGCACAAUGCUGAGAAAUGUCACCAUGUAACAGUAGAGUCCAGGGUCCUGAAGGAAAUACACUUGGAAGAGAGAACAUGCCGUUUCCUGUCGCAGGAUUGACAACUAUUUGUGCUUCCAAGGCAGUAGAAGGAGACAGUAAAUUUCAUUGCUGCAUUAGUAUCUUCUGUAUAUGUAGGCCUGCUUAAUAAACAAAACUUGUUUAACCCAA